UUGGCCAAUAACGUUCCACCAUGGCAUCCCAUAUUAUCAUAAGUGGGCGUGGUUUGAAAUGCUAUGCGCGUGAACCGGUGUUUCAGAAAGGGGCGUGCAUUAGAAGGCAGGCUUCAGGAUCUGCACCUACAUCACGCUCAUGAAACAUGUGUGUGUGAGUGUGUGUGCGCGCGGGCGUGAGGCUGCAUGUGUACCCUUUCUACGCGUGUUGGACUUACUAGCUUACUUGUGAUUUUUGGGUUGUUUUUUUUUUUUUUUUUUUUUUUUGGAGUAACCAAACUGAAUUUCUGAACAGGUAUGCUAUAGAAGUCUUUGAAAUGCGACUCGUCCCACAUACCGGCUUUGCGGUGUAACAUCUGUUUGUGCCGCUUACACUACUACUAGGUAGCCUACAUGCUAGCACAAUAUUUAAUCACAGUCACAUUCCAUUAGUUUGUUUUAGUUUGUUUAGAACUUGUUUUUGUUUGUUUGCUACACUGUAAUUUUUGUUUGUUGUUGCCGUUCAGUGUUUGAUGUCGGUAGCUUGUUUCACUGCAUUGACUCACGCUGCUGUAGCUGUUUCUCGGUAUAUAGGGUUUGACAACAAUUUAUUUGAGGGUUUUAGGUUUACAAAAUAUAGAACUGUUGAAGAUUUUUUUCUAGUGGAUUGUGAAAAAAAAGGUUUUUCGUUUUCAUUGACUCGCUUACAGAAAUGAAAUCUUCCAUAGUGUACCAGAGAAGAAGGAGUCUGUGUCCGGUAUUAUUCGAAUAGCUGGUUUAUUUACAUGUCUGGCUUUCACUGUGUCUUAAAUGUGUUUUAAUUUGACACGUUAGCACCGUUUUUCUCUUCCAGUAUUGUGGUGAAUGCCUGAAACUUUUAUAGCCUACCUUUGUCGAGCAACGAAAAUUCCCCUCCCUCUCUCUCCUAGUGCAGCUGUAAUGAUUUCUCAUCUGCACGUCAGUAUCAUUUGUGCAAAAUGAAAACUAAUCUGUACACCUAAAUAUGCAGUGACAUAUUUUUUUUGGAAUGAAUGAAAUACAUGUUGCAUUACAUAAUCCAGUGAAAGAAUGGCAGCUGCUUAAAACCAUCCAUAACCAGCCAGUCAGUCUGGAAGCUCCACAUCAAUGUCUCUCCAAUACGAGAUCUGCACAGACUUCGAUUUGUUCCAUUGCUAUGUAGGGAUAGCUAAGGCUUUUUUUAAAAUAGGAAAUUAAAGCUAUUGUAUAAAUGUUACAUGACACUUAAUAUAAAAAUGCUUUAUGAUUUCAUUCCCAUCUUUCUAUUGUGAACAAUCUCGGAUCUUCGGCGUGACGGCUGGAUCGACCCUGGAUGUGCUGGAUGCUCUACAAUUUCUCUUGAUGCUGGUCUCUGAGGGCUCCAUGUGCUAAUGGAGCUUUGGUUGUGUGUGAGUUUCAGGUGAACAGAAACAACUUGUGCUUUUGAAUUUGUUUUUUUUUGAUAUAUGUAUAUUCUUUUAUGUAUUAUGUAUACUUAUAUUGACUUUUUAAUAUGUGUUUUCACAUUCAUACGACAAUCCAGGAAAAUGACUGUAUAUUAUAAUUUCACUUCAGAUGAUGGUGAAGAUAUGGUGAAACUUGAGGAUGAUUAUUUAUUUCUGGAAGGAGUUUUCCAACACUUGAAAGUCUUCAGGACCGAGGACUUGAAAAAGAUGAAACAGGAGAGGCUGAUGAGGGAACUACUGUUUAUAGCAGCUGUAAUGCCAGUGAACAGGAAAUAACUUGUUUCAUAGAUCAUCCACAACAUUAAAUGUAACUGUAAACAGAUAAAAGUAUUAUUCUAUUCUUUUUCCAUGUUGAAUUAUUUAUGUUAAAAACAAGUGUAACCGAUCUCAGCUUCACGGAAAUCUUUUUAAAAAAAUUUUAUUUCAGCACGGCUGCUAGCAAACCUAAAUGAUCUGUUACUAAUUAUGGUAUUAUGCAAACAUUGUCGAGUAUCAUGAGCUAAUGUUGUUACACUCCCACAUUUAAACGAUGUGUGGAUGCCUGAUGGCUUGCUAUAACUGCCUAAUCUACAAUAUUAUAUAUUAUCUUAGAAUAUACAUAUUCUGUAUAUGCAGAUUGGUUAAGAUUCAGUGUCUAGUUUCAGACAAGGCUAAAUAUUAAUUCUUAAGUUAUAAUUACAACUUUGCCACAUCUCUUAUGCAUACACACACACAAACAAAUAGAUACACCAAAGCCUUCUACUUGUUUCAGAUGCCUCUGGUUUUGUCUGAUUUAUGGACAAGAGGAAGCUCUUCUUAGAUCGAUACUUUUGUACCGACAAGCAUGACCAUACAACCUCCACCUCCAGAUAUUCUAUACUAUACUAUAUUCUAUACUAUAUUCUAUACUAUAUUCUAUAAGCUAUUUAAAAAGGUAAAUUUAUUUACUGUAAUCUUACAGUCACAGUGUGUCAAGAGCAGUUCUUUUGUGGUCACCAUUUCUUCUGAAGCAUUGAACUGAAUUAUAUAACUAGUAAUGAUUAUAAUUACACAGUAGCCAUCAGGGGUUUAUAUGGCUUCCAGCUGUACACAGCAAUUGCUUUAUGUGAUCAAUGCAGAGUGACUCCAUGGGGACAGCACUGACUUUUCGUGUACUAAUAUUCAUCAUUUACAAUUGAAGAGAUUUAAGUGCCUCUGUUCUUCUAAAGCACACUCUUGUAGCAUACUGUGACUGGAUGUCAUUAAUGAUUAAACAAGUGCUGUUUCUGACCGAAGAGGCUUUUGUUUGCCAUGUAUUAAUAUGGUAUGCAUUUAAUGGGAGAUUUGAAAGGUUUUGGGCAUAUAUUCAUAAAGUUAUCAAAUAGUCAUCAAAGACAAACAGUCAUCAACUGAUCCUACAUCAGUAGAAUUAUUUAAUGAGUCCUCAGUACUGGUCAAAGAGCAUAUCCUACUAAUGUUAUAUGAAGAAUUUGAUAAAAAGGUCAAAUGUGCAGCACAGUAUCACUGUGUGACUCAGGCUUGAGAACCAUGAACGAGCCAGUAUUUACAAGCUGUAAAAAUCUGCGAACUGACUCACUAAAGCUAUUACAGGAAUUUCACAUGCCAUACUUUUAUAUUAUUGAAGCAAAUGCAUUUGUCAAUUGAAAGCUGACUCAAGUGCCAGAUGCCUCAGUUGAGAUUUGUCUCUUAGAUACUCAGACUCGAUUAGAGGCUUGAAAAUAAUGAACAGUUGGAGCACUCAUGUUCCCUUAUGUGUCUGUUACUGAUGAGUUACAAGAACCCUCAAUAAUGGCGGUGGGCUUCAGUCAUGACACAGCAUAGUGAAUUGUAAAAACCAGAAAUAUGUAGAAGUUCAUGUGGAGAAUACAUUUCUUGAACACAGAGAAUUUUUUUUUUAAUCCCUCUUAUUUGCUGGUUUUUGAAUGACCAGUUACUGAUCUAACUAAUUCCAAGCUGAGCAGCCUACAUACACUGUAGAUACUGGAAUGUACAGUUGAUUGAUUCAUUUUUCCAGAAGGGAUAAUAGCAGAGAAAGUGCUUGUUCCAUUUAUUUACAGUGUAAAAUGAUCACUUCACUUGCAGAACUUAAAGUGUUAGGACAUUUUCUUAAUGCUCUUUUCAUCUGGCAAGAGGCUAUUUGCGCUGCUGUUGGUUAUUACAGUGAAUAAUAAUUUGAUUGCUUUUUCCCCAAAAAUGGUCACUCCAUGUCGGUAUUUGAAUCUUUGUUGGGUAUUCAACAAAGUAUCACUGAGACGUACGUUGCAAUUAACCAAGUAAUUAUCAUUUUUGUAAUCUAUGUCCUGUAGAAGACCUCAAGCUCUUUAAUCUAUAAUAUGAUAAUACACCGUAUUUGUGCACAGUGCCUGUGGCCAAUAUCUCUUAAUUGUACUGUAGUGAUACUACUAUACUCUACAUUUCUGAUUUUAUACAUGUGUGUGUGCUGAGGUAUUUAAAGAAAAUCACAAGUAGCCACCUAGUGUAUCUUGCAAUUAGACCAGUAUUUUAUAUUUGUGUGUGCUGUGGUGUGUAGAGCAGAUCGGGCUCUCGAAUGUAAUCAGGGUGUUCAAAAAGAAACUUAUCAGCUUGUUAAGGAGCACCUUUACUUGUAAUCAGGAAGCCAUUGUUUUCCCAUGGAGAGAGCAGUUGUGCUUUACCUGGAGGCAUCAUGACCUUGAGCAUCAAUUUUUCAAUCAAACUCAGCUUUCUGAUGUUUGCUGCUGAUCUUCAAACAGAAUCAGUGAGACAGAUUGCUGUAUGAGACAUGGCAAGAGACAACUUAUUUUUAUAGGCACUGAGUAUUCUCACUGCUUGGUAGUAACCCAAGUUACUGAACACGUAUGUGGGGGGAAAAAAUUAGGAAUGUGAAAAAAUGUAGGAUAAUCUCAGUUAUGCCUCUAAGAUGUUUUUUUUUUUGUUGUUGCCAUAUUGAUCUUUUUUCUGUAAUAUUUCUGUUAUGGAUCCACACACUAUGGAUUUCUGAACUCCAUAGUGGUCGUAGAGGUUGUAGAACCUAGGGAAAAAAUGUAAACUUAGAAAUAAGAAAAUUAAAAAUGUAGAUUUAAUAUUCACUGGAAACUUGACAAACCCCUUAUUGUUACCAAAUAUUUUUUCUUGUCCAAAUCUGUUAAUCUGGCAGACUCUUGUAUUAGGUGUAGAAAAUCUUAUUUCUACUUAAGUUAUAAAGGGCAAAGAUUCAUUCCUGAAACUUGCAAAUACUUUACUGUACACUCACCAUUCACUGUAUUAGGAACACUUGCACACUUCAUGCAAUUAUCCAAUCACCCAGUUAUGUAGCAGCAGCGCAGUGCAUAAAAUCAUGCAGAUACAGGUCAGGAGCAUCAAUUAAUGGUCACAUCAAACAUGAAAAUGGGGGAAAAUGUGACCACGGUGACUUUGACCGUGGCAUGUUUGCUGUUGGUGCCAGAUGAGUUGGUUUGAGUAUUUCAGAAACUGCUGAUCAAGUGCCUGAUUUUAGCCAAGAACAGUAAUCUGAGGCUACAGUAGGCACUGAUGUACGAAAACUGGACCGUUGAAGAUCUUUUAAAAGGUCUUUUAUACAAACCUCUCCCCACUAUAGCCUCAGAUUCCAGUCAUUAGAUUUAUAUAACGCUUUUCUAGACACUCAAAGUGCUCUACAUUGUAUGGGUGGAUAUCUCCUCAACCACUACUAGUGUGUAGCAUCCACCUGGAUGAUGCAAUGGCAGCCUUAGUGUGCCAGAACGCCCACCACACACCAGAUAUUAGUGGAGAGGAGAGUGAUGUAGCCAAUUCAGAGAUGGAGAUUAUUAGGGGGCCAUGCUAGAGAAGGUCCAAUGGGGGAAUUUCACCAGGACACCGGGGUUAUACCACUACUAUUUAAAAAAUAAUAAUAAUAUAUUUUUUUUUGAUUGAUUUAUACUGACUACACAGAGUCUGAAGCUAUUGACCUGUUUCUGCAUGAUUCUAUGUAUUGAGCUGCUGCCACAUGAUUGGCUGAUUGGAGAAUUGCAGGUGUUCUUAUUAAAGUGGUCAGUGAGUGUAUGAAUUAUGUUUAAUACCUGUCUUUUGAUCUCAGUGUUUUAAUGUUCUCCAUAUCACAGCUGUGUUUAGCAUUCUACCUCAUUUAACACUCCAUAUUCAGCUCAUCACCUUAUUACCAAUGUAUUCAUGAAUGUAAAUGGUAAAUUGCGCACUUAUAUAGCGCUUUUAUCCAAAGCUCUUUACACCGUGUCUCAUUCACCCAUUCAUACACAGAUACACAGGUAGCAGAGCUAACUUGCCAUUGGGAGCAGUUGCCAUUGGGGUUCAGUGUCUUGCCCAAGGACAUUUUGGCAUGUGGAGUCAUGUGGGAUUGAACCGCCAACCCUACGAUUAGUGGACAACCCGCUCUACCACCUGAGCCACAGCCGCCCCUUGUCUGAAUGUGUCAAGGCAUGUCCGACAAGCCGAAUGUGCUUGUCAGAAGAUGGAACACACAAAUCUGUGUUGUAACCCUCCAGGACACAAUUUUGAAGCUCCUGCUUUUUAGGCCAUGUUUUUUUCCACUUUUAAUGAAUCCUAUUUGUUCUCUUGUUAGAUCUAUUUCCUGUCUUCUUGACAUCCAAUACAAACACACACAAUUCACUAUAUUUUAAUAUAUUUACUCAAAUAAUUAAAUGGGGAGUAAUGUAUAUAAGUAUUCAUUUGGUGUCAUAGUAUUCAGUAAUAAAUGUAUUUACAAUGUAAAGAUGAAUAAUCAUGUUUGUCCUGCUCAUUGUGUGACAUCACAUCCAUGAAGUCAUGUGGUAUUGAUCACAUGGUAUCACCACUAAGACUGCGCACUAAUAGUGUUGAGUUACUCUUAUUAGAGCAAGGCAUAAGCAUAAAGAGACGUUUAGGUGUCUCCCGUUACCUGUUUUCAGCAGUAACAGAGUUAUUAGAAAUAAAUGCAAAUAUUGUCAUCCUUCAUUCCAUUAAAAAGAUCUAUGCAGAACUGAGAACUGUCUGUUUCAAAAAUCAGAGAGAUUUCUGAGCAGUCCCUUUAGGAAGCUAAGAACACUAAUUCUUGAAACUUGUCAUAUCACUGAACUAUUAGUUAUUCCAGUGUCUGUAGGUGGACACAUUGAUAUAUAACACUGAUUUAUGUUGUUGCAGUGGGACUUGUCAAGGGCUUGGAUAUAUUAGGCAGCAAGUGAACAGUCAGUUCUCAAAGUUGAUGCCUUGAAAGCACGAAACAUUGGCAAGCCUAAGGAUCUGAGCAACUUUGACAAGGGCCAAAUUGUCAUGGCUAGACGACUGGGUCAGAGCAUCUCCAAAAUGUCAGGCCUUGUGGGGUGUUCCUGGUUCACUUUUGGUAUAUGUACCUGACAGAUAUUCUAACACUCACUGAUAUCAGAUCAUUUAUAUAUAGUCAUGAGCUUUAUGUCAGAAUAAGCUUUUUGCAACACAUUGUAAGCUUUGAGUUCUUGGGCAUUCAUUUUCAGUACUUUUCCUUCUCUCUAAUUAGGAGCUCAUUGUUUGAGUGAAUAGAGGGUGGGCUGGUGUAUAGAAAUUACAUGGUGCAUUUGAUUUACACUGAUGAAGAAGAAAUGUGUUAUGCUUAUGCGUCAGUCUCUGACAGCACAGUGAGUAACAUCUGUUUUCCUGUGUCCUGUGUUUUACCCAUGGAUUGUUUUCACUCAUUUCUACCAAGGUACAUCGAUCUGUCUGCAGUCAUCAGUAACAUUGUAGGAAGAACCAUAUUCCCAAAAUAACACCUCAUUUUUAUUUCUCUCUCUCUCUCUCUCUCUCUCACUCACUCAUACACACACAUCACUCAGACUUUUCUCUCUGUGGUAUUCUGUUUUCAUUUAUUAUCUGGACUUAAGUACUUUGUGUGUGUGUGUGUGUGUGUGUGUUUGAGUAUUGUCUGUGAAUUCAUGUGUCUUCGUGCUGCCCAUCUGGGCUUUUCUUAGGAGUGUCAGGAAAUGAAUCACCAGCAUCAGCCCACAUCCCUGAUUUAGUGAAAUUGCCUUUGCUGAAACAAAACUGACAUUUUGUAGUAAUUUUCACAAUUUAAAUUAACAAAAUUAAUCACACCUUCAAGUCCAUAAAAUUAGAAUCAGGUGUUCAAGAUACUAGUGAUUUGAACCUGUUUAGGGAGUGCAGGUGGAACCUGUCUUAUUUAAAACUCUCACAUCUAGUGUCUGGUGUUCCCUUUGCUAUUGAGGUGUGUGGUGUCUUCAUUACAAGAUCUAAAGAGUUCUGUAAAGCCUUCAGACAAACGGUUGUGGAUGCCAAUGAGUCUGGCAAGGGAUUUAAAAAGACCCCCAAAUUAUUUGAAAUACAUCAUUCCACUGUAAGGAAAAUCAUCUGCAAGUGGCACAGAUUUCAAAUGACUGCCAAUUUGUCCAGGACUGGCUGUCCCAGCAAAUUCAUGUACAUGCAUGAAAACCCUCAAACAUCUUGCAACUGAACUAGUAUUUCAUGGAAGAGUGGUCAAAAAUUCCAGCAGGCUGAUGUCAGAGACUAGUAGAAAAUUAUGCAAAAUGCCUAUAAGAAGCUAUUUCUGGUAAAGGGGGCAAUACUAGCUUCUGGGGCCAAGGGUGUACUUUCUUUUUCUACAGAAGAAUAUCACAUCUAUUGAUAUUUCUGUUGAAUACAUGAUUGAAAAAGAUGAUUUUCCUUGUGGUUUUGUUCAAGUAUAUCAGCUGUAUUAGUAGGCACUGUUUCAAAGAUGAUCAAACAUUUGCUUGUCCAAAUAAGUCAAAAAAGCCAACAAUUUCCAUGGGGUGUACUUAUUUUUUCACAUGAUUGUACAGUAAGAGCCUGUUGUGAACCAUCAGUUCUGUUAAACCAUCAUACUCACUUAACUUGACUAUUAAGUCUGUAGAAUAUAUUUGCAUGUCUGACCAUAAGCAUGUCUGGCAUGUCAAGAUACUCACUUGUGUUGUUGUUCCUUGUUUGUGUGUUUGUUUGUGUGUUUUACUUACAGCUGCUUGAAUGAAAAUAAUCAUUUUAGAAGAUUUUAUUGGAUUUAUAAAAAAUGUAAACUUCUCUUUAAAUUAUUGUUUAAUUGAUAAUAUUGACAAAUUCCAUAUGGAAUAAUAUUUUAUCCAUAAUGCAUUAUUUCAGCUACUAUUCAAGCUUGUUUGUUAUCUAUAAAUGCCAGUUGCACUCAUUUGGCAAGACCUCCAAACCUUAUCAUUCAUAUAAUGUGCAACCACACAUACAACCACAACUGUGAAACCUUUUGAAAGUGUUUGAAAUUCAUGGCUUUAUUAUUAUUAUUAUUAUUAUUAUUAUUAUUAUUAUUAUUA
ensembl:lncRNA